CCUUAAGUAUCUACAUUCCUCUAAAGUUGAUAUGCCCUAAAAAAAGUACAUGAGAAAUUAUGUGAAAACCAUUUGGGUAGUAGAUUGUUGGCCUACAAGAUAUUUCGAUAAAAAUACUACUGGCCCAUGAUGCAAUAAGAUAUAGCCAGCUUCAUCAAGUGUUGUGACUAAUGCCAGUGGAACGCUAACAUCCAGUACUAGCCAGCUAUUCUGUUAGCCCCA
rnacentral:lncRNA from 1 species